UACAGAGGUGCCGAGCGUUAGGCGGAAUCACUGGGCUUAAAGCGUGUGUAGGCGGACGUCUAAGUACCUUGUGAAAUCCCACGGCUCACCCGUGGAACUGCUGGGUAUACUGGGCGUCUUGAGCCACCUAGGGGCCAGCGGAACAAAUGGUGGAGCGGUGAAAUGCGUAGAUAUCAUUUGGAACGCCAAUGGUGAAAACAGCUCGCUGGGGGUGCACUGACACUGAGACACGAAAGCCAGGGGAGCGAACGGG
rnacentral:rRNA from 1 species